rnacentral:rRNA from 1 species
GAGCCGUAAAAGGCUUUGGAGGACCGAACACACAUCUGUUGAAAAAGGUGGUGAUGAGGUGUGGAUAGCGGAGAAAUUCCAAUCGAACUCGGAGAUAGCUGGUUCUCCUCGAAAUAGCUUUAGGGCUAGCCUCGAGAUGGAGUCUAACGGAGGUAAAGCACUGAACUGACGCGGGGCCCAAAAAGGUUACCAACUCAUAUCAAACUAAGAAUGCCGUCAAGAUACCCUCGGGAGUCAGUCUGCGUGAGAUAAGUCGCGUGGACAAAAGGGAAAGAGCCCAGACCGACAGCUAAGGUCCCAAAGUACGUGUUAAGUGGAAAAGGAUGUGGGAUUUCAUAGACAACUAGGAUGUUGGCUUAGAAGCAGCCAUACAUUUAAAGAGUGCGUAACAGCUCACUAGUCGAGAAAACCUGCGCCGAAAAUUUAACGGGGCUAAAACACGACACCGAAGCUACGGAUUUCCUACUAGGUAGGAAGUGGUAGAGGAGCAUCCUGCAAGGACGAAGCCAAAGUGAGAACGAUGGUGGACGAAACAGGAGAGAGAAUGCCGGAAUGAGUAGCGAGAUAGAAGUAAGAAACUUCUAGGCCGAAUAUCUAAGGUUUCCUGGGUAAAGCUAAUCUUCCCAGGGUUAGUCGGGGCCUAAGGCGAGGACGAAAGUCGUAGUCGAUGGAUAACAGGUUGAUAUUCCUGUACUACGUAUCAUCAGAACUGUGGGGACGCAGGAGGAUAGGAAAACCGGGGAAUGGAAAAACCCGGCCAAGUACAAAGUCAAGGGAGAUAGGCAAAUCCGUCUCUUGAUGAUGAAGUGCGAUGGGGACUGAACAAAAGUAGGGAAGUUUCCGAAUCCACACUGUCGAGAAAAGCCGCUAUUGUGUGAUACGUACCCGUACCGUAAACCGACACAGGUAGAUGAGGAGAAAAUCCACAGGCCGACGGGAGAAGUGUUGUUAAGGAACUCGGCAAAAUGACCCCGUAACUUAGGGAGAAGGGGAGCCACGCAAGUGGCCGCAGAAAAGAGGCUCAAGCGACUGUUUAGCAAAAACACAGGUCUCUGCGAAACCGAAAGGUGAAGUAUAGGGGCUGACACCUGCCCGGUGCUGGAAGGUUAAAAGGAGAGGUUCGACGUAAGUCAAAGCUUUGAAUUCAAGCCCCAGUAAACGGCGGCCGUAACUAUAACGGUCCUAAGGUAGCGAAAUUCCUUGUCAGGUAAGUUCUGACCCGCACGAAAGGUGUAACGAUUUGAGCACUGUCUCGACAACACGCCCGGUGAAAUUGAAGAACCAGUGAAGAUACUGGUUACCCGCAACAGGACGGAAAGACCCCAUGGAGCUUUACUGCAGCCUGAUACUGGGAUUCGAUGAUAUAUGUACAGGAUAGGAGGGAGACUAGGAAUCCGGGACGCCAGUUUCGGAGGAGUCGACGGUGGGAUACCUCUCUUAUGUUAUUGGAUUUCUAACUUGGCACCGUGAUCCGGUGUGAGGACAAUGUCAGGCGGGCAGUUUGACUGGGGCGGUCGCCUCCUAAAAGGUAACGGAGGCGCUCGAAGGUCACCUCAGAAUGAUUGGAAACCAUUCAAAGAGUGUAAAGGCAAAAGGUGGCUUGACUGCGACACCGACGGGUGGAGCAGGUA